rnacentral:tRNA from 1 species
GGUCUUGUGGUGUAGUGGUUAUCACGUCUGCUUUACACGCAGAAGGUCGCGGGUUCGAACCCCGCCAGGACCU